GAUGAAGAACGUAGCGAAAUGCGAUAAGUAAUGUGAAUUGCAGAAUUCAGUGAAUCAUCGAAUCUUUGAACGCACAUUGCGCCCCCCAGUAUUCUGGCGGGCAUGCCUGUUCGAGCGUCAUUUCAACCAUCAAGCCCUGCUUGUGUUGGGGUCCUGCGGCUGCCCGCAGGCCCUGAAAACCAGUGGCGGGCUCGCUAGUCACACCGAGCGCAGUAGCACAUCUCGCUCAGGGCGUGCGGCGGGCUCCAGCCGUUAAAGCACCCACCUUUCGCAAGGUUGACCUCGGAUCAGGUAGGAAUACCCGCUGAACUUAAGCAUGUCAAUAAGCGGAGGA
rnacentral:misc_RNA from 1 species